rnacentral:lncRNA from 1 species
UUUUAAACGCCUUAUAUGUUUUAGACGUAUGGCGGGUCUAGGCACGUGCCGGGCGGGCUUCCGCUGGGUCCCGGGGCGUGACAGAUUAAUUUGGUAUCAGAGACUAGGGUUGAGUCUUAGGGGACCUAGUAGACCUUAGGCCGGUUGGACUAUAGGAAAUAGGCUCGUGAGAGACGAGGUCUAUUUGACUUGUAAGCGAAAGUAUCUGAAUUGGGUAUCUUGGAUAACUCUAGAAAAUGAAGUUAAAUCGGAGUGUUUGACUUCUAACUUCGCGGAGCGUUACGUUGGCGGCCGACAACGUAAUAUUGGGAGUUAGUAGUGUAGAACACUUCUUUACUUUCGCAUGAUUUGGGGUUUGUCUUUUGAGCGGGGAUGCGAUAGCGUGAGUAUUUCUAACUUGCGCUUUUAUGAUGUUAUAGUGACGAUGCCGAUUACUCGCUCCCAAUCUGCCGGGGCGGACAAUGCGGCAAACUUCGAGGAGGUCGAGACCUCCGCUACCUCCGGAUCCAGCGAGGUCUGUGAGUUGAGGGGCCAGCUUGCGGCCCUCACUGAUUUAGUCACUCAGCAGGCGGAGGCUGCCCGACAGCAGACUGAGGCUGCGCACCGACAGGAGGCGCGGAUGAAGCGCCUGGAGGACUUACUCUUGUAGCAAGCAGCAGCUUCUAGGGAGACGCAGGCCCCUACACCGCCAGCACCAGUUGUGGACGUCGCACCGAGAGCGCCAUCCCCCGCGCCUAGUUCUUCGCGUGCGGCGCCUGUGGCCGCACCCCAGGAGGAGGUUUUGGUGGCACCACCUGUGCAGAGGCCCUCG